rnacentral:tRNA from 1 species
GCGGGUGUAGCGCAGGGGUAGCGCAUCUGCUUCCCAAGCAGAGUGUCGUGGGUUCGAAUCCCAUCACCCGCUCCU